rnacentral:rRNA from 2 species
AAUACCGGGGUUGUCUGAACCGCAUGGUUCAGACAUAAAAGGUGGCUUCGGCUACCACUUACAGAUGGACCCGCGGCGCAUUAGCUAGUUGGUGAGGUAACGGCUCACCAAGGCAACGAUGCGUAGCCGACCUGAGAGGGUGAUCGGCCACACUGGGACUGAGACACGGCCCAGACUCCUACGGGAGGCAGCAGUAGGGAAUCUUCCGCAAUGGACGAAAGUCUGACGGAGCAACGCCGCGUGAGUGAUGAAGGUUUUCGGAUCGUAAAGCUCUGUUGUUAGGGAAGAACAAGUGCCGUUCAAAUAGGGCUGUUCCUUGACGGUACCUAACCAGAAAGCCACGGCUAACUACGUGCCAGCAGCCGCGGUAAUACGUAGGUGGCAAGCGUUGUCCGGAAUUAUUGGGCUCGCA